AGAGUUUGAUCAUGGCUCAGAUUGAACGCUGGCGGAAUGCUUUACACAUGCAAGUCGAACGGCAGCACGGGGCAACCUGGUGGCGAGUGGCGAACGGGUGAGUAAUACAUCGGAACGUGCCCAAUCGUGGGGGAUAACGUAGCGAAAGUUACGCUAAUACCGCAUACGAUCUACGGAUGAAAGCGGGGGAUCGCAAGACCUCGCGCGAGUGGAGCGGCCGAUGUCAGAUUAGGUAGUUGGUGGGGUAAAGGCUCACCAAGCCAACGAUCUGUAGCUGGUCUGAGAGGACGACCAGCCACACUGGAACUGAGACACGGUCCAGACUCCUACGGGAGGCAGCAGUGGGGAAUUUUGGACAAUGGGCGCAAGCCUGAUCCAGCCAUUCCGCGUGCAGGAUGAAGGCCUUCGGGUUGUAAACUGCUUUUGUACGGAACGAAACGGCGAGCUCUAAUACAGUUUGCUAAUGACGGUACCGUAAGAAUAAGCACCGGCUAACUACGUG
rnacentral:rRNA from 1 species